AAUUAAAAAAAUUAACUAAUACCUAAACAAAAAAUAUAAAUCAUCGACAGACGACAACAACGGACAGGUACAAGAGUAUCUACUACAAAUACAGUACACAACUGAUUUUAUCACUGUUUCAAGCAUUUGGACCUUUAAUCAACCAAGAAUAAUUUGAAUUAGCUACUUCCCUUGAUACAUUUGGAUGAAGCAAUUUAUUAUUUUAUGAAGUAUUUUGAAAGGAGUAACCGAUUAGAAUUCACCAUCAUUCAACCAGUAAAGUGUAUUGAAUGCCAUUAGCAUAUCUUUGGGCAUGAGUACAAAUAUUGAUCUUUGAUUUGACUAUUUGAAUAGGGUUUCAAGUGCAGCAUACACUCAAGCUAUUAAUACAUACUUAAAUUACUAAAAUCCAAUGCCAAAGUGAGUGAAUUAAAUAAAAAAUAUCUAUUAUUGGAAGAAAAAAUUAUAACAAAAUAUAUUACUUCUGUACAUUA